AAUAAAGUGCUGAUUAAAGGAUUAUUCUGAUAGGAUAAAUUAAGUAGAUAUCUACCUUUAUUA
rnacentral:tRNA from 1 species